GACGAACGCUGGCGGCGUGCUUAACACAUGCAAGUCGAACGGUAAGGCCCUUCGGGGUACACGAGUGGCGAACGGGUGAGUAACACGUGGGUGAUCUGCCCUGCACUUUGGGAUAAGCCUGGGAAACUGGGUCUAAUACCGAAUAUGACUACAGGCUGCAUGGUCUGUGGUGGAAAGCUUUUGCGGUGUGGGAUGGGCCCGCGGCCUAUCAGCUUGUUGGUGGGGUGAUGGCCUACCAAGGCGACGACGGGUAGCCGGCCUGAGAGGGUGACCGGCCACACUAGGACUGAGAUACGGCCCAGCCUCCUACGUGAGGCAGCAGUGGGGAAUAUUGCACAAUGGGCGCAAGCCUAAUGCAGCGACGCCGCGUGAGGGACGACGGCCUUCGGGUUGUAAACCUCUUUCAGCACAGACGAAGCGCAAGUGACGGUAUGUGCAGAAGAAGGACCGGCCAACUACGUG
rnacentral:rRNA from 1 species